UUUUGGGCAAUGGGCGAAAGCCUGACCCAGCAACGCCGCGUGAGGGAUGAAGGCCUUCGGGUCGUAAACCUCUGUCGGGAGGGGAGAACGGUCGCGAUUCGAACAGGGUCGCGACCUGACGGUACCUCCAAAGGAAGCACCGGCUAACCCCGUGCCAGCAGCCGCGGUAAUACGGAGGGUGCAAGCGUUGUUCGGAAUCAUUGGGCGUAAAGCGCGUGUAGGCGGCUGGGCAAGUCGGGUGUGAAAUCCCGGGGCCCAACCCCGGAACUGCAUUCGAAACUGCCUCGCUAGAGUCCCGGAGAGGAAGGCGGAAUUCCCGGUGUAGAGGUGAAAUUCGUAGAUAUCGGGAGGAACACCAGCGGCGAAGGCGGCCUUCUGGACGGUGACUGACGCUGAGACGCGAAAGCGUGGGGAGCAAACA
rnacentral:rRNA from 1 species